rnacentral:misc_RNA from 1 species
AAAGUCGUAACAAGGUUUCCGUAGGUGAACCUGCGGAAGGAUCAUUAUUGAAUGAACUUGGUGUGGUUGUCGCUGGCCCUCUUGGGGGCAUGUGCACACCUACCAUCCUCAUCUCUCCACCUGUGCACCUCUUGUAGAUUUGGAAUUGAUUAUCCGAGGCAACUCGGUCGUGAGGACUGCUAGCACUUAGCUGGCUUUCUUUGCAAUUCCAGGUCUAUGUUUUUCAUAUACCCCAUUGUAUGUAACAGAAUGUAUCAUUGGGCCUUGUGCCUAUAAACCUUAUACAACUUUCAGCAACGGAUCUCUUGGCUCUC